rnacentral:rRNA from 1 species
AUUGAACGCUGGCGGCAGGCUUAACACAUGCAAGUCGAGCGGGGUGAGGUGCUUCGGUACUGAUCCUAGCGGCGGACGGGUGAGUAAUGCUUAGGAAUCUGCCGUUUAGUGGGGGACAACAUUCCGAAAGGAAUGCUAAUACCGCAUACGUCCUACGGGAGAAAGCAGGGGAUCUUCGGACCUUGCGCUAAUGAUGAGCCUAAGUCGGAUUAGCUAGUUGGUGGGGUAAAGGCCUACCAAGGCGACGAGCUGUAGCGGGUCUGAGAGGAUGAUCCGCCACACUGGGACGGAGACACGGCCCAGACUCCUACGGGAGGCAGCAGUGGGGAAUAUUGGACAAUGGGCGGAAGCCUGAUCCAGCCAUGCCGCGUGUGUGAAGAAGGCCUUUUGGUUGUAAAGCACUUUAAGCGAGGAGGAGGCUACCUGGAUUAAUACUCUGGGAUAGUGGACGUUACUCGCAGAAUAAGCACCGGCUAACUCUGUGCCAGCCGCCGCCGUAACAC